ACACAGCCGGGACGCCCUCCCUCAGCCGCGGUGCCUCCGAGCCCGGGCUGCGAUGGCAUCUGGCGCGGCCAGCCCCGGCGGCUGCCGUCUGCAGCGGGGUGUAGCGGGGAGCUGAAGGAAACCAACGGCAGGGAAGGGAUAAGGAAAACCCAACUCUGUUUUAUUCCCGGGGAUUUUUGUAUAAAGUGAAUUAAAACUAACGGGUGGCCCCAAGGAAACAAUGGGCCCCUGACAAGGGGCUCGAAGCUCCUGCUCAGGCAUUAGAGAAGGCAUCGCUUUCACGUUGCCGUUCGGAAAUGUCCCCAGCAGGCCUGGAGAGGCUCCCCCACAGCAGCUACCGACAGGAAGCACCUCCAGGACUGCCUUUGUUUCUGCUCCUUGCAGAGCAGCUCUGCCUCCUUCCUAAGCUGGAAUGAAAACUCCAGUGGUUCUGGACUGUUUGCUGUAUGUAUGGACAACGCUUUGUGGAGGUCGGGAUAGCCAGAGAAGUUAUUCGUCCCAAUCAUUUCAGCCAUGCAAAGAGGUCAGUGUUCACAUCUUGUGUACAUAAACUCUCUUCCUGAUAGCAAAAUCACUGCAAGGCCACAUACGCAAGCUCACCACUCAAUGGUGCAGGGAGCAUAGCUCUCAUUACCCUCCCAGGCAGAGAAGUGUUACAACAGCUCAAAGCCAGCUCAGCCAAAACUGCUUUAAGUUGGAAAAAAACAGGUUGUGAUCCUUGAACACGUUUCAGAUGACGGAGGUUGAACAGAAUCAUGUCUGGAUAAUGAUGUUCCCAUCUUGUUACCCUGACACCGACCAGCUCAGCAGACGGAUCUGGGUAGGAAGGAAGUCCAGUGUCGGAAGGCCAGUGCUGGAAAAACGACAAGUAAUGAGAAAGCUGGAAGGGAGUUCAGCUCCUUCAGUGAUCUCAAACACUGCAGCAGCCAAGUGUAAGUUCCUUUGUGAGGAACAUGCCUGCACUACUCGUUCCCCCAUGGCAACCCCUUCUGUGUCUAUUCCUGCUGGGAUGCAGCAGGGCAAGCUCCAGUGCUGAUGCAGAUGUCCCUGUUGCACCGUGGAGGGAUGUCACACGUGUCCUGUGUCAUGCCUUCCAACACGUGGGGGGAUGUCACACGUGUCCUGUGUCAUGCCUUCCAACAUGUGGGGGGAUGUCACACGUGUUCUGUGUCAUGCCUUCCAACACGUGGGGGGAUGUCACACGUGUUCUCUGUCAUGCCUUCCAACAGGUGUUGCUGGUGCAGGGCAGGCAGCCCACCUAAUCCCCAGGGGUAAUCCUCCUCUCCUCAGUGCUGAAGGAGGCUGUUGGCUUUAAAGUCAGCAUUCAGUAAUCAUUGCUCAUUGGUGCUGGUGGGGUUUAUGAAGAUGUCAAGAGCAGCUAAAGGUCUUCAUAACCUGGAGGCUGCGUUAUGGUUUGUUUUCCAAAUUACAAAAGCAUUUGUUUUUCUUUUCCUAGUUUGAAGUUAUCCAGGUUUUUUCACACAUCAUAGCAUUUGAAAAUAAAAUGAAUGCAUAACAUCUUGCCAGCAGAUGCUUUAUGCAUUCAGUUUUUCAAAGCAGGAACCUACUUGUGUGUACAUGAAAGAAGUAUGUGUGUGAAAUCUGUAUGUGCACCUACCUGAGUCACAUGUUAACUAGGCAAACUGAGCAAAUAUUCCCACAGCCAUGGAGUUAUGGGCCAGAAUGCAAAUGAACAUCUCCCUGCUGCAAAUACAAUUCUGGCACAGGUUAAUGCAGAAGUGGGUGCCAGAAGUGUUCAGAUUUCUUGUGCACACAGAUCUGAGUCUAAUUCUUUCUACCAUUAAAAUUACUUUAAAAUACACAGGAUCGAGCUCAGGACUCUAGAAAUGUUUGCCUUGACUUCAAGAAAUUUUAUGAAAUAGCUAAAUUCGAAAGACUGAAAAUAAAGUUUCAUAGCUACACUGUUUGCACAAU